rnacentral:piRNA from 1 species
UNGAGCAAAUGCCAUGAACAAGCUGCCUCUU